GACGAACGCUGGCGGCGUGCUUAACACAUGCAAGUCGAACGAUGACGACCGAGCUUGCUCGGUCUGAUUAGUGGCGAACGGGUGAGUAACACGUGAGCAACCUGCCCUUCACUCUGGGAUAACCUCGGGAAAUCGGGGCUAAUACCGGAUAUGAGCUCCUGUCGCAUGGCGGGUGUUGGAAAGUUUUUCGGUGAAGGAUGGGCUCGCGGCCUAUCAGUUUGUUGGUGAGGUAGUGGCUCACCAAGGCGAUGACGGGUAGCCGGCCUGAGAGGGCGACCGGCCACACUGGGACUGAGACACGGCCCAGACUCCUACGGGAGGCAGCAGUGGGGAAUAUUGCACAAUGGGCGAAAGCCUGAUACAGCGACGCCGCGUGAGGGAUGACGGCCUUCGGGUUGUAAACCUCUUUCAGCAGGGAAGAAGCGAAAGUGACGGUACCUGCAGAAGAAGCGCCGGCUAACUACGUG
rnacentral:rRNA from 1 species